rnacentral:rRNA from 1 species
AUCAUGGCUCAGGAUGAACGCUGGCGGCAUGCCUAAGACAUGCAAGUCGUACGAAAGCGGCCCACUGAAGUCUGAGUGCUUGCACAAAGAUGGAUGUGGAUCACCGCUUAGUGGCAAACGGGUGAGUAACACGUGGGUUACCUACCUCUAAGUUGGGGAUAACAAUUGGAAACGAUUGAUAAUACCGAAUGUGCUCUACGGAGUAAAGAAGCCCUUAAAGCUUCGCUGAAAGAUGGGCUCGCGUACGAUUAGAUAGUUGGUGAGGUAACGGCUCACCAAGUCGACGAUCGUUAGCCGGACUGAGAGGUUGAACGGCCACAUUGGGACUGAGACACGGCCCAGACUCCUACGGGAGGCAGCAGUGAGGAAUAUUGGGCAAUGGGCGCAAGCCUGACCCAGCAAUGCCGCGUGAAGGAAGACGGUUUUCGGAUUGUAAACUUCUUUUAAGAGGGACGAUAAUGACGGUACCUCUUGAAUAAGCCACGGCUAACUACGUG